rnacentral:rRNA from 1 species
GACGAACGCUGGCGGCGUGCUUAACACAUGCAAGUCGCACGGAAAGGCCCUGCUUGCAGGGUACUCGAGUGGCGAACGGGUGAGUAACACGUGGGUGAUCUGCCCUGCACUUCGGGAUAGCCCGGGGAAAUGGGUCUAAUACCGGGUAGGAGCCCUUUUUUAUGGGGUGGGUGGAAAGGUUUUUUCGGUUUGGAUGAGGCGGCGGCCUAUCAGGUUGUUGGUGGGGUAAUGGCCUACCAAGGCGGCGACGGGUAGCCGGCCUGAGAGGGUGGACGGCCACAUUGGGACUGAGAUACGGCCCAGACUCCUACGGGAGGCAUCAGGGGGGAAUAUUGCACAAUGGGCGCAAGCCUGAUGCAGCGACGCCGCGUGGGGGAUGACGGCCUUCGGGUUGUAAACUCCUUUCGCUAGGGACGAAGCUUUUUGUGACGGUACCUAGAUAAGAAGCACCGGCUAACUACGUG